rnacentral:rRNA from 1 species
UACGGGGGGGGCAAGCGUUGUUCGGAAUUACUGGGCGUAAAGGGCUCGUAGGCGGCCAACUAAGUCAGACGUGAAAUCCCUCGGCUUAACCGGGGAACUGCGUCUGAUACUGGAUGGCUUGAGUUUGGGAGAGGGAUGCGGAAUUCCAGGUGUAGCGGUGAAAUGCGUAGAUAUUGGGAAGAACACCGGUGGCGAAGGCGGCUCUCGUGGACCGAUACUGACGCUGAGGCGCGAAAGCGUGGGGAGCAAACAGG